ensembl:snRNA U6 U6 spliceosomal RNA
GUGCUCACUUUGGCAGCACAUACACUAAAAUUGGAACGAUACAGAGAAGAUUAGCAUGACCCCGGCACACGGAUGACACAAAGUCGUGAAGCUCUCCAUAGUUUC